GACGAACGCUGGCGGCGUGCUUAACACAUGCAAGUCGAACGGAAAGGCCCUGCUUUUGUGGGCUGCUCGAGUGGCGAACGGGUGAGUAACACGUGAGUAACCUGCCCUUGACUUUGGGAUAACUUCAGGAAACUGGGGCUAAUACCGGAUAGGAGCUCCUGCUGCAUGGUGGGGGUUGGAAAGUUUCGCUGGUUGGGGAUGGAAUGGCGGCUUAUCGGCUUGUUGGUUGGGUAGUGGCUUACCAAGGCUUUGACGGGUAGCCGGCCUGAGAGGGGGACCGGCCAAAAUAGACCUGAGAUACGGCCCAGACUCGAACGGUAGGCAGCGGUGGGGAAUAGUACACAAGGGGCGGAAGCCUGAUGCGACAACGCCGCGUGCGGGAUGACGUGCUUCGGGUAGUGAACCGCAGUCGCCUUAGACGAAGCGUGAGUGACGGUAACGGGAAAAGAAGCACCGGCUAACUACGUG
rnacentral:rRNA from 1 species